rnacentral:lncRNA from 1 species
CUUUUUUGUUUUCAGGCCUAGCCUUUGUGGUCCCUACUAAAUGAAUUAAUAAUUUUUGACCACCUAGUAUCCCUUUCCCUUUCCCUUUUUUUUUUUUUUUUUUUUUUUUUUUUGGCAAAUGGCACACACAGAGUACUCUUGGGAUCCAACUCUCCUCUCCUGCUGUCAGUCCAAGGACUUCGACUGUUGUUGACUCCACCCCAUGUUUCUGGAGUCAUGCACCAAGUGAGACAUGGUAUUCUCCUUUCCCUUGAUUUUCUCCAAAUACUACUUGAACUGGACAUUUGUGAGUAUAUGAAACUUUACUGAAGACCCCAUGCAAAUUGCGUAUCACCAUAGCAAGCAAGGGGAGAUGAUGAAGAGAAGCUUGUUAGGGCUACAAAAAUACAAUUUGAAGGAAUAAGUUCUGCUAUUUGAUAGUACAGUAGGGAAACCAUAGCUAAUAAUACUUUAUUGGGUAUUUCAAAAUACCUAGAAGAAAAUACUGUCAUGUUCCCAACACAAAGAAAAGAUAAAUCUUUGAGGUGAUAGAUACUCCAAUUACCCUGAUUUGAUCAUUACACGUUGUAUACAUAUAUCAAAAUAUAUGUACACCCCAAAAUAUGUACAACUGUUAUAUGUCAUUUUUAAAAAGAAGAUAUACAAAUAAAUUAAUUAAUUAAAUAGCAAGUAAAAUUGCCCCAACUUCAAAAUUCCUUCUUAGCUUCUCAUACUUCUUUAUAAUGCCUCAAUUUUUCUAUAUAUUUCACUCUAGUCCAUCAUACAAUUAUUUAAUUUAUUUUAACUUAAUUAAUUUCUGGUCACAUCCUAUAAACACUAUUCACAAAGGGCCUUACCUGAAUUAAUACGUAUAACCAGUAAAAUGGAUUCCUAAAUACAAACUAGUCUUUUUACCUAAGAGGAACUCUGCUACUUAACAAUUUUUUCUCACCCUCUUUCUCUCCAUUUAUUUAUUUCUCCUUUUUUCUUCUCUGUUUCUUGCGUUCAUUCACUCACCCACUUGCUUGUUUUCUUUAUGUCCUCCUAUGUUAAGACUAUAAAAGUUUUACAACUAAGAGAUAAAACACAAAGGCUGGAUAUACUCCUCCUGAAAGUGUGAUGAGAUGAAAUUAAACUUGUUAGGUUUAAAGGUAUUGCCCAAGCAAAUAUACAUGAAAAAUUUAUUGUCAAGAAUGAUACAAAUCUUAAUAUGUUGAAAGUAAAGGUCUUUUCAGUCCCAUUUUGUGAGUUUCAGUCUUGGGCCAUUGUGUCAAGGAAUGAUUUUCUAUGUUAGCAUGUUAAUAAAGGUAUAUGUAGUCAAUAUAGAUUCUUAGAAACCUACGUUAAAUGUAAUACCUAUUUGUAUUUUAUUAGGGAUUGUAAAUUUUGAAAAAAUAAGAAUUCAUACUUUUUCUUGAAAUUUUAACAAAAGCAUGAUUUUCACAUUUUUUUAACGUUUCCAGUUUAACUUCCUGCCACAUUUGACCUCCCAAUUCAUGUUCUAGUCUAUAUGUAAUUAACUUUUCUGUAUGCUGUAAAGUAGAAGACAAAUAGUUUAUUUUUAAAUAUAAUAUCCAGUGGAGCAAGAAGUGCUAAUUAAAGGACUAUCCUUUCCAUGCCGAAUUUCAGUAGCAUCUAUGUUGAAAAUAAAGUGUUGUUAUGUUUGUAUCUGUGUCUGGGCUGCUUAUUCUUUUCCAUUAGAUUCUUGCAUAGAUACCACAUUGUCGUAGGCAUUUCAGCUUUAAAAUAAUUCUUGAUAUUUAAUACUGUAAGUCUUUUAGUUUUGCUCUCCUUUUCUAAGAUCAUCUUAGUUAUCCUAGGUCAUUUUCACGGCUAAUCCUUAAAAUUAGUGGCAAAUUUUUACUUAAAGUCCCAGUGGGAUAUAAUUAAGAUUGCAUUACAUUUAUUUAUAAAUAAAACUGGGGGAGAAUUGACUCUUCAUAAUGUUGUGGUCUUCCAACUCAACAGGGUAUAUGAUAUAUCCCUCAACUUGUUUAAAUAUUCUGUAAUUUUCUAAGAAAUAUUUGUAAGUUUUGAUACUUAUAUGUCUUAUAUUUCUUUCACUAAAUGUAUCCUGACAUUUUCAUAUCUUUGGUACUGUUGAAAAUAAUGUCUGUAAACUUUAUAAACAAUUGGGUGG